GCCGGGCGCGGUGGCGCGCGCCUGUAGUCCCAGCUACUCGGGAGGCUGAGGCUGGAGGAUCGCUUGAGCUCAGGAGUUCUGGGCUGCAGUUCGCUAUGCCGAUCGGGUGUCCGCACUAAGUUCGGCAUCAAUAUGGUGACCUCCCGGGAGCGGGGGACCACCAGGUUGCCUAAGGAGGGGUGAACCGGCCCAGGUCGGAAACGGAGCAGGUCAAAACUCCCGUGCUGAUCAGUAGUGGGAUCGCGCCUGUGAAUAGCCACUGUACUCCAGCCUGGGCAACAUAGCGAGACCCCGUCUCU
rnacentral:SRP_RNA from 1 species